UUUUUUUUUUUUUUUUUUUGAAGUAAUCGAUAUUAUAUAAAUAGAGAUAGGCAAAAUCUAAGUACACAAGAUGAUAUGCAAGAGAUAAGAUCUAUCUAGGUCGAAGUAAGGGAAACUAGGAAGUCAUGAAAAUUUUGGCCAUUAAACAGGGAUCCAAGU